rnacentral:lncRNA from 1 species
CCAAUAUGCUAGCAAGGGGACUCAACUGGGCGCUGCAGGAAACGGGUAUGCAACAAUUUUGGUAUGGCAAGAAGUGGAGUCUCACCAGUUCGACCCAUCAGCCUCAAAACUGGUGUGGGAGCAAGUUUUUAAACCAGUUUUUGGGUUACCAACAGAUGCAGCUCUAGUUGCCGAGACGGAGGUGACUCUCGGUAAGGUUCUAGAUGUGUACGAGGCAAGACUGUCUCAAUCCAAGUACCUAGCCAGUGACAGCUUCACCUUGGCCGAUCUGCACCACCUCCCUAACAUCCAGGCCUUGUUGGGGACUCCAUCCAAGAAAUUGUUCGAUUCUCGCCCCCAUGUUAGCGCAUGGGUUGCCAGUAUCACUGGAAGGCCAGCUUGGGGCAAGGUGCUCGCUUUGCUUCCCAAGUAAAUUAGAAAGUAACUAUGCAGGGUCUCUUGUACUGAAUAAAUAAUAAAAAAGAUGAGUAUGGUGUUUAGUCAUCAAUAUAUAUAUUUCUGUUUACAGAAACAGCUAGACUGAAAGGUCCCCUGUUUGCUUCUCGAGUACUUGUAUUUUGAUCUUGUGUAUGGUGUUUAGUCAUCAAUCUUCUAUGCGAAGGAUGGUUAAACUUGGAAUAAAGUUGUCUUUUUUUGUGUUGUUCGUGGCAUUUCCUGCAUCGGUUUGUAAAGUGGGACAUUGAUGAGCCUUGAAAUUUCAGUUCAGAUUUUAUGGACCAAUAUCAUUUCAACAUUCUCAAGUUUUGAUCUUAAUUCUCUCUUCUUCUUUUUUUUAACAAAUGCGUAGCGAUCAUUCUAGCUCUGGAAACACAUGAACGCUCCUUUGUGCUCUUUUGGUGUUGGAAAAACGCUUCUUUCAUAUGGGCAUCUGCCCUUCAGACUUCAGGUUUGGUCGAAAUAUGGCAGAAGCAUUUGGUUCUAUGCUAGCCAUCCUCCUUGCAAGAGUAAAGCUGGAACAGGUUGUGCACACAAGUAGGUAGUGAAGUGAUGAUUCGUCUUGCACUUGAUCAAGGCAGUUUUUAUCGUUUUGAAAAAAGAAGUGAUCUUCUUCAUAAAAGGCAUUUUAUGUCUCUAUUAUAGACUAAAUUUACAAACAUCAUAAUACCUUUAAUUUUCAAUUGCAAUGCUUAAAGUUGCAUGUAUCCUUCUGUCUUUAUUUUUUUUAUCAAACUUUAAAGCAAAUUUGAAGCUUCAUAGGAUGAGGUGAAUGGUUAAAAAAGAAAAAAAAAAGAAAUUAACUAUAACUAAAAGGGAUUAGGGUUAGUGUUUUAUUGUAGAAUGAGUUAUUGUGAAUUGUAAGUAUUUUUUAUUAUGAAUUAUAUUAUUUGAUACUAUAAUAUUAAUUACUUAUUGUAGAUGGUAAAUAAUUUUACUCUGAAUUGUACUAUUUGGUGGUACAUGAUGAGCUUGCAGACUAGGGCUGAGCAUUUCCGGUUCGGUCCGGUUUUAAACCAAAAUAAACAACCAAACCGAAUUUUUUUUUUUAAUUUUUUGAACCGAACCGAACCGAAAACCGGUUCAAACCGAUUAAUUUCGGUUCAGUUCGGUUUUUUUCCCUUCCAAACCGGUUCAAACCCAAUGGUCCUCUCUGCUUCUCCUACAACCUUGACCGCAACAACGUUCAACUGCACAUAGCGUUGAUUGUUCGAGGAAAAGUUCAUCCAUUUCAUUGUAAUUAAUCAAAUGGCAGGGGGUUGUAGAAAUCCACGGAUAUGAAAAACAAAAGAAAAGGAAUGGAUCUACUAUUCCAAUUCCAUUUGUGGCACAGACUCAACAAGAAAAUUGAAACCCAAAGGAACCAAAUCCAUAAGGGAGGGGAGGAAAAUCAAAGGCAGAGGGUAAAGUGAGAAAGAUGCAGAGAAGGGAGGAAUGGAUCUACUAUUCCAAUUCCAUUUGUGGCACAGACUCAACAAGAAAAUUAAAACCCAAAGGAACCAAAUCCAUAAGGGAGGGGAGGAAAAUCAAAGGCAGAGGGUAAAGUGAGAAAGAUGCAGAGGAGGGUGGGGUGGGGGGGGGGGAGGGUAACGUGAGGGGCAGAGAAGUGAGAGGGUAAAGUGAGAGACAGAGAAGGGAGAGAGUGGGGGGGGGGAGGGUAACGUGAGAUGCGGGGGGGUGAAGUGAGAGGGAGAGAAGGGGGCGGCGGCUAGGGUUAGGAAAUGUUUGUAUUUAUAGUUGUUUUAUUUUUUUAAAUGCUGGUUGAUUGAACCGGUUCGGUUCGGUUCAAUCGGUUUCAGACUUUAGAAACCGAAACCGAACCGAACCGGAAUUUUUUUGUGAUUUUUUAAUCGGUUAAUUCGGUUUUUUUUUCGGUUCGGUUUCUUCGGUUAUUUUUUUUUCGGUUUUCUCGGUUUAAUCGGUUUAUCGGUUUUUUUGCUCACCCCUAUUGCAGACUGUGAAUUGCAAUGUUUAAUAAAGCGAGACAAACAUGUUUUUCUUUUCUUUUUUUCUUUUUCCAAAAGCUAAAGUGCUGCAAUAUCUUUAUUCAUUCUCAUGGCUUUUCGUAAAAACACAAGGAUGAGAUGAUAGUUGACGAGAGCGGUGGACUUGAGUCUUUGAUGAUUUGAAAAGAAAAUGAAAAUGAAAAUGACAUAAAUGUGAUCAGUCCACCAGAUGUUUCAUUGCGAUCAUUUCAACCCUUCCACUCGCUUCGGAAAUCAAAGUUUUGAAUUUUGUUUUGAUAUGUGUUUUGUUUUUUUAAUUGAAAUAAAAUAUUUUGAUAUCAAAGUGUUUUGAUGUAUCAUUUAAAAGUUAUACUGUUUAUGUAUAUUAAUUCAAAUUCAAGAUAAAUUAAUUAUAAAUUAUACAAUACAAAUAUAAUGUCAAACAAAUAUAAUUUUAAAAUUUAAAAUAUUCAUAAAUAAUCAAGAUUAAAUAGAACUUUAACUUAAAGUAAUUCAACUUAAACAAAAUACCAAAAUAUUAUGAAAGUAAAAUGUUUUGACACAAAAAAAACAUAAAUCAAACAUCAUCUCCAUCAUUAAAAUAGAAAUAAAGAUCUUGAUCUUGUGGUGGUACGUAGGGAAAGUCACCAACUAAACAUUUCAAUAAUUGAUCAUUUCCACCAAGCUCAUUCUCGUCAUCAAAACAUAUCUCUUCGUCCUAUAAAGUUAAAGUAAACGAAGGUGCUUCAAUAGUCUCCUAACUUAUAUCCUCUCCAUUAAGAAGGCUAGAUUCUUCACAAAUUCAUUCAUUCAAUAGGUCAAUGUUAUCUAAGCUAAUGGGAUUUAAAGCAUCCCUUAUUUUGCUCAAAUUCCUACAAAGUAUAAACAUGAAAAAAAACAACAUGAAUAUAAACCAUCUAUAUUAGUGAUAAAUCUAAUUUUAAAAAAUUAAUAUAAUUGUUAUUGGAAAUAGUAAUGAAAAAGAGCUUUUUAUAGUUUAUACUUGGGUGGUUUAAUUAAUCAAAUUGAACCGGGUUUAAUUUGAUUCAAAGGCUUUUUAAGCGCAGAACGGAACAUGUGAAAUGAAAUCGGAACAUUCUGGCCGAAAUUUAUCCGAAAAAUGCUGAAUGGACCGAGAUUUGAAAUGAGAUGAAAUUUUUUUUGUUUUUUGAAUUGGUAUGAAAUGUUUCGGCCAUUUCGAACGAAAUGGAACGGAAUUGACAAUCCUGCCAAAAACCUUCUAAGAAGCUAACACGUGGUUGUUCUCUGUACAUAAAUUUUGUCCAUUGUAUGGCUGACAUGUUGUCUUACCAUUUCUUUGAUAACGAUUUAAUCCUCACAUUUCAACAUAAUCUUUGCGGUUUUUCACCGACGCAUCGUCUUGCGCAAAUGAUAGAUUUAGGGUUCUUCAACCUAGACUAUAAUUAUUUUUUUAUAAAUUAUAAGUUUUGAAGAAAUUUGUAAAGCCAAUAGUGUUAGUCUAAUAAAACAAUACAUGAAAUUAUUUAUUUUUCUAAUAAAACAUUUACUCCUAACUAAAUAUCACAAUAAAAUCAUUAUUAAUUAAUCAUAGUUGUUUAUGAUUGACAACCUAUCAUGAUCAAUUAUGUAGAGGAAACUUUCAUCGUAGUUGAUUAUGAUUAAUGGUAAUUAAGGAUCAAAAAAUAUAAUGAAAAAAAUAAACGAAUAAGAAAAAUAAAUAAAGAGGGAGUAAAGAUUCAAAUAAAAAUUAAAAAAGAUUAUAAUUGACUUGGUUUGCAUGGAAAGUCUUAAUGAAUAUAUUUAGAGAAUUACUAAUUAUGGGUCUUAUUAAAAUCAAGAAUAAAACAAAGAGAUCUUGUAUAAUUCAAGAAUUGAAAAAUUAAUCUUUGAUUAUAAAAUCUAUAGACCUCGCCCAAGAAAGAAAAAAAGAAAAAAGAUCUUUCAAUUAAUAGAUGAAAUUUAUCUUGUAUGGUGCUAAAUACUAGAGCUUCCCCUCUCAGCACCGUGACUAGACUCUAGCCACCACCAUUAUCCAACUUGUAGCCAUCAUUUCCAACCUAAAAUCCACCCAAAAUAAACUUGCAAUUAAAGCAUUUGGAUAUCCAAAACCAACAAAAGCCAUACAUAAGGAUCUGACAGAAAAAAAAAUCACUUUUCAACUUGAAAGUCUGAUCUGUUUUGUUCAUUCUUUUGCAGGUUCAACAUCAGCAUGCUUCCAGUCGAAUCCAAUAACUCUUGAAUGUCAUUUUUGAAAGCUAAUUUUUUUUUCGUAUUUUGAAUAAUUUCAAUGUAUUGUUAAUUUUGUAUGUAUCCUAUGAUAAAUAUUUGAAGAGCACUUGGUCCAAGUUAAUUAACUAUAACUAAAACUGAUCAGUGUCUCACUACUGUGCAUUGUGAAUGAAUUUACUAUGUAUUGCACUGUUCUGCACUGUAGCGUAGGUACUGUGCACUGUGAGUGUUUUCACUAUGGACUACACUGUUUGGUGAGGGUAUGUGUGAGGCUGCAGCCAGCAGGCCCCAAGCGCUAGGCUGGAGGCACGCCCCCUGGGGAUGCACACACCUGACGCUUGGCUGCAACGCCCGAGCACUGGGCAGGCCAUGCCUGUUGACAGGGGCCUAGGCUGCAACCACCUGGCGCUCAAUCUACCCUGCCUUGGGCGCAUGGGCUGCCUGCAUGUAUGCUUGGCAGACCAAGUGCACACAUGGCGCUUAGGUUGAUGCCUGUGUGAGAAAUAUUAUUAUUUCAAAUUUAUUAAUUAUUUUAUUAAUAAUAUUAAUUAUAAUAAAAAUAAUAAUAUUUAUAACACAAAUAAUAAUAUUUUUAAUAUUCAUACUAUUAAUUAUAAUAAAAAUAAUAAUAUUUAUAACACAAAUAAUAUUAGUUUUGAUAUGAAUAUUUAGAAUUAUAAUAAAAAUAAUAAUAUUUAUCACAUAAAUAAUUAUAUUAAGAAUUACAAUGAUGAUUAUAACACAAAUAAUAAUAUUUUUUAUAUCAAUACUUUGAGUUAUAAUAAAAAUAAUAAUAUUUAUAACAUACAUUAUUAUAUUAAGAAAACUGACGUGGGGUUGGGCGUGUACACAUCCAGGUCCAACAUGGGGUUGGGUGUGGAUGCGUCACCCCUCCAACGUGGGGUUGGGCAUGGACACGUUCAGGCCCAACAUGGAGUUGGGCGAGGACAUGUACAGGUCCAACGUGGGGUUGGCGGCGGACGCGUCCAGGCCCAACGUGGGGUUGGGCGCGGACGUGUCGAGGCCCAACCUGAAGGUGUUAAUAUUAAAAUACUAUUAUUUGUGUUAUAAAUAUUACUAUUUCUAUUAUAGUUCAGAGCAUUAAUAUAAAAAAUAUUAUUAUUUGCGGUACAAAUAUUUUUAUUUUUAUUAUAAUUAAAAGUAAUAAUAUUUAUUUUUAUUGUAGUUCAAAGUAUUAAUAUCAAAAAUAUUAUUAUUUGUGGCACAAAGAUUAAAAAAUAUUAUAAUUUGCGUUGUAAAUAUUAUUAUUUUUCUUAUAAUACAAAAUAUUCAUAUAAAAAAUAUUAUUAUUUGUGUACUAAAUAUUAUUAUUAUUUUUAUAAUUCAACUCUUCAUAUCAAAGAUAUUAUUAUUUGUGUUCUAAUAUUAUUAUUUUUAUAAUAAUUCAAAGUUUUAAUAUAAAAAAUAUAUUAUUAUUUAUGUUCUAAAUAUUAUUGGAAUUAAAAAUAGUAUUAUUUGUGUUAUGAAUAUUAUUAUUUAUACUAUAAUCAAAAGUAUUAAUAUUAAAAAUAUUAUCUUUUGUGUUAUAAAUAUUAUUAUUUUUAUAAUAAUGAAUAUUAUUAAUAAAAUAAUUACUAAACUAGAAAAAACAAUUAUUGCUAAUAUUGAAAAACAACCAUAGAUUUGAUUUAAAAGGUAAAAUUAAUUAAUUAUUAUUAUUAUUAUUAUUAUUAUUAUUAUUAUUAUUAUCAUUAAUAAAUUUUUAAAAACUGUUAUUACCAUUGAAGAAAAACUACGUGGGGACUUGGGUUGCUGCCUAUGUGCUGGGCAGACCCCAGCGCACACAUGGCGCUUGAGCUCCUGCCUCAGUGCUGGGCACACCCUUACGCACCCGUGGCGCUUGGGCUACGCUGGGAGAGAGCCAUGUCUGUGCCCCACUUGGGGACAUCUAGCGCCUGGGUCAUGGCAUUGGACCCAAGGUUUUUGAAUCUUAAGAUUCUAAAUAUAAUUAUUUGUUUUAGAAAUAUUUUUAUUUUUAUUAUAAUUAAUAUAAUUAAUAAAAUAAUUAAUAACUUUGAAAGAAAAUAGUAUUAUUAAUAUUCAAAACAUAUUAUUAUUUAUAUUAUAAAUUUUUAUGAUAUGUUUUAUAAAAAUAGAAAGUGAGCCCGCAGCGUAGUAUUACUAAAAAUAUUCAACAAUUCUAAGUAUUAAUAUAAAAAAUUACUAAAAAUAUUCAACAAUUCUAAGUAUUAAUAUAAAAAAAUAUUAUAAUUUGUGUCGUGAAUAUUAUUAUUUUUCUUAUAAUCAAAAGUAUUAAUAUUAAAAAUAUUAUCUUUUGUGUUAUAAAUAUUAUUAUUUUUAUAAUAAUUAAUAUUAUUAAUAAAAUAAUUACUAAAUUAGAAAAGAUAUUAUUCUUAGUAUUGAAAAACAACCAUAGAUUUGAUUUGAAAGGUAAAAUUAAAAAUUACUACUAUUAUUAUUAUCAUUAAUAAAUUUUAAAAAACUGUUAUUAUUAUUGAAGAAAAACCACUUGGGGAUAUGUGGUGCUUGAGUUGAUGCCUGUGUGUUGGGCAUACCCCCAACGCACACAUGACGCUUGGGCACCUGUCUUAGUGCCGAGCACACACUAGCGCACACGUGGCGCUUGAGCUGUGCCAAGACCGACCCAACUAUUCUUGGAUCCCGCAUGUUGUAAAAUUCAAAAUAGCCUUGAGUCAUUAGUUAUAAAGGACCCAAAAUAUACUUAAGUCCUACCAACAUUAAGACACAACUUUUUUAUAAAAAUAAAAGGUGAGCACACAGCAACAUAGAACAUCUAACUAGUAAAAGCUAUUUGUGAAACAUGUCCUACGGAGAGACCAAGAUAAAAGGUUUGGUCCCUUUUUUGAUAAGGAGGUGCCACUUUUGGGCCCUUAAAUUUCUUGCUUGGUUGCAGCUGGAAUUUUGAUCUAAUCUUGUUGAAUUUUAAAUUAAUAAAAAAAAUGAACACAAAAGUCUUGCAAUAAAAACAAAUUAUAAUAUAGAAAAUUUCUUAUAUGUUUUAUGAUGUACGCUAUUUUGAUAAAUUAAUAAUUGUUCAAUCUUUAUUGUUUUGAUGUUUUCUUAAAUUGUCAUAUCUAAUUUUCGAAGAUUAAAUAUUUUGUUUCAUAUUUAUUUUAUGAUAUAUGUUAUACUAAUUAAAUAAUAAUUGUUCAAUCUAAUAUUAUUUAUAAACUAGAUUAUUUUAUUACAUUAUAUAAAAAAAUUAAAAUUGGUGGACAAUCUAUAGUGUACCAAUGGAACAUUAUGAACAACCAUAAUGUUUUUUUUUUAGUUUGUGCACAAAACCUGAAGAAAGAGAGAGGAAGGGAGGGGGGGGGGGACCAUCAGAGCCACUUCGAGACUUCAAUGCCAACAUGUACUACUCUAAGAGAAAAAACUCGAUGAGACAAUACUGGCAACACCAAGAAAGGCCAUGAUCGGAGCUCGGAGGAGGCCACACGUGCGUCCUUAACAUGGUGGCCUCCUCACACGAUUGGGCGUGUCACUUAUGCGCUAGACAAUUUUUUUUCCCCUCAUUAUUUUAUGCCAUUUCAGUUUGGUUCUAGAUUUUACACAACUGUUUUUAUUUGGACCCCAAUUCUUUGAUAACUCUUCAAUUUAGUUCUAAAUUUCAUCCUACCCAAGGCUAAUUGAGACUUAACUAGGGAAAAGAAUGAGACAUAUCAUCCAACCAGGUUAUCUCAUUGUGGUUAUGUUUAUGACUCGGGCCGUGAAUUUUAUAGGUUAACCUAAGUUGACGGGGGAAAUGCAAUAUGACAUUUUUUUAUAUAUAAAAAAAUUCAUUCCUAACUUUUUUAUAACUCUUCAAUUUAGUCUUUGUGAUAAUUUUUCACUUUGGUACCAAAAUUCAUCCCACCAAAGGAUAAUUAAGGCCCGACUAAGGAGAAAAUAAAGGAUAAGAAAAGAUGGAGGCAUAUUGCCCAACAGGGUUUUCUCAUCGUAGUCGUGUCCAUGACUUGGAUUGUGACUUUCACAGGUUAACCCAGGGUAAUUAAAGUCGAUACAAUGUGGCAUUUAAAAAAAAAAAACAAAUUAGACCCUAGUUCUUUUAUAACUCUUCAAUUUAAUCUCUUUGAUAACUAUUCCAUUUAGUCACAAUUUUCAACCUGCCUAAUGCUAAUUAAGGCCCAACUAUAAAGAAAAUAAGGGAUGUUAAAAGAAAAAGACAUAUUGGCCAAUUAGGUUAUCUCAUUUUGGUCAUGUCUAUGACCCGACUCGUGAAUUUUAUAGUUAACCCAAGUUGAUCGGGGUUGAUCCAAUAUGAUGUUUUAAAAAAAAGAAUCCUCAAUUCUUUUAUAACUCUUCAAUUUAGUCCUAGAUUUCGUCCAACAUGAGACCAAUCGAGACUUAAUUAAGGCUCAACCAAGAAGAAAAUAAAGGAAGGAAAAAGAAAGAGACGUAUUUCCCAACUAGGCUAGCUCAUUAUGGUCGUGUCCAUUACUUAGGUCAUAAAUUUUACAGUUUAACUCGGGUCAAUACAAUAUGUGUUAUCUUUUCAUUUCACUUCUUGAUUUUAUUUUAUUUUACAUUGGACAGUUCAUUAUUUUGCAUUUAAACCUAAUGGGUUAAGGCAGAGGUUAAAUUAACAGAGAUGUGAAGUUUUUCGAGAUUCAGAUUGUCAUUUGAAUGAGGCGACUAGUUCAUCAUAGAUAAUUUUUACAAGAUUGUUUAUAUGAAAUUGAAUAGUAUUAUGAAUAUAAAAAUAAAAAUGAAAUCAAGAGCUAUUUUUUAGCCAAUAGAAGUUUAACUCCUACAAAAUCAAUUCUAUAAUUUUAAAAUUCAGACCUAUUUAGCAGGCUGAUUCGAGAUUUGAACUACUACAUAUUAAAAAAACAAAAAAAAAAUUAAUUGACUUUGGUAAAAAAUUCAAGUCAAUCCAUUAACUUAAUCAACGUGGGUUUGAUCUAGUCAAAACCUAAUUUUCUAUCUGCUGAUUUUUAUUUAAAAAAAACAAAUUUAAUCAACUAUUUUUUAUAAAAAAAACAAAUUGGAUGGAAACCUUCGCAACCUAAAAUUUACCUUAUAUUAAUCUCUUUAUGGUUUUUAAUUUUACAAAGGUGUUUGUAAAUGUAUUAGUGAUUGUUUUUUAAAGUGUUUUUUACUCGAAAAUAUAUUAAAAUAAUAUUUUUAUUUUUUAAAAAAAUAUAUUUUUAAUAUCAACAUAUUAAAAAAAAUUUAAAAUAUAAAUAAAAAAAAUAAAUUUUAUACAAUCUCGUUUGGAACGCAAUAAAAAAAAACGGCUACGAUCACUUCAUGAUUUUUCUUAUCAACUAGAUAGUAGAUAGAGGAACAAUCUAGCGUGCCAGGCGCGUGCCCACGCCUGGGCCUAGGAAGUAGGAAGCCAGGCUCGUUUUGCAGGGGAUGGGGUUGCUAUGGAGCAGCUAUCAAAUAAUGCAUUGCUCCAGUCAUAUCUUCUUUACCAACCAAUUAGGCUAGAAAUCUGUCACGAAAAGUUAAUGUCUACUGCUAAAAAUACAGGUGACGCUAUAUUAUUACAAACAACAUUGUUUUUUUUUUUUAAGUUUAAUAUGGAUGUUCGGGCUAGCUUACGCGUACCUCGACUAAUUUCACGGGCCCUGAAGUUAACGACCAUGUAAGCCUCCAGUGACCAUCAUAUGAGUAACCACAUGGCUUGAACCUGAGACCACAGAGGAAGCAAACCUCUUGGUCCCAAGCUUUUACUACUGGGCCACCACCUAGAUGGUUGCUCAUUCUUUUUUUUUUUUGUUAUUUACGUGGGGUGUCCGGGCCAGCUUACGCGCACCACGACUAUUCCCCACGGCCCACUGGACACCCUGCAAGCCCAGGAGCAGGUAAGGCACCGCGGGGGUGACAGGCGUGCACAUAAAGGGUCGAACCCGGGACGGGGGCGGAACAAGUCACACGAUUGACCACAACAGCUAGACCCUCAAGUGCUUGCUCAUUCUUUUUUAAAUAUACAGGUUGUGCCAUUGAAAAUAACAUGUAUAAUCUUUGAGUCAAAUCUUUGAUUAAUUUAGUUUCAAGUCAAGUAUCAAGUCACCAAGUUUGUUUUCAAAAUUGUUUGGUUAAAAGAAAUGAAAUGUCUAAAAUUUAGACAACCUAAUUUCCAAUUUUGGACAAACGUAUGUCCAAGUUUUGACAAUUUAUUUCGACAAAUGAAUGUCCAAAAUUUAGAUAUUUUAUUUCUCCCUCCACCUAAUCUUAUUAGGUAUUCUUUGAAGAAAAUAAGUUGAAAUGGUUUUUUGAAUCUAAAAACCCUAGCUCGAUUUUCCAGCCACCUCUUUGAUAGUUAAAAAUUAAAUCAACAGUCGACAUGUCAUUUGUUUUUUUAAUAAAAUUAUAGGUACGUGAAAGAUAUCGAUGAAUGAGAAUUUAAUAGAAAAUACAUAUAAGACAUAAAUGUAUGGGAUUUUUAUAAUUUUGAGAAAAACAAAUUGUUUCCUUCAACCAUUUACAAUAAAAAAUGAGUUGGAAGAAAAUUUUCUUUUCUCUUUCUUUCUUCUUUAAUCUUAUUCAUUUUAGGGAGUUAUGGAAAGCGACUACGUGUUUCUUAUUUGUUUAAGAAAUGAAAGUAGAUAGAAUUAGAGAGAGAGUUGUUACCUAGAAGAAAGUGCCCAAUUUCUUUUUUCUGUUUCUUUUUUCAUUAAUGUUAUUAAGAUUAGCCAACUAGUUAUCUAGUAAUGUGGGCAAAAUAUUUUAAAAAUAUAUUUUUUUAUUAAAAAUAUACUAAAAUGAUGUUUUUUAUAUAUAUUUAUGUUUUAAUCUUUGAUAUAGUAUAUCAAAAUUAUAAAAAAAUUAAUUUAAUACUUUUACAAAUAAAAAAUAAUUUUAAAGAUAUAUGGAACAAAAUUACAAACACACCGUUCGUGACAUUCUUAUAGAUUUCCCAUAGCAAUACCUCGCUACAAGUUACCAAUUAUUAUUAACUUUUUACUCCCUCCGUCCAAUUUGUUUCAUCAUAUAUUUUGUUUUAUCUAUAGAAUAUCCAAUAUUUAUCUCUUUUUAAAUUGAAAUAUAUGGCACUAUUAUAAUUUUUAUUUUUCUCUUUAUGGUUUAAAAAAUAUUAUCCAUAAUUAUUUUUUAUUCCAAAAUAAUGCGUUUUAAUAUUUUUUUUUAAAUAAAACAGUUUUAGCAUAUGUACACAAAUAAAUAAUAAUCGAUGUUUUCGUAAAUAACUAAAAGUUUACCAGGAGGAGAAAUAAAGUGAGUGCUAAAGUUACAUCAUCAAAUACGUCACCACUCGAUAAAUUAUGACGUGACUAAUAAGACAAGGAAAAUGAUUUUUUAAAAAAAAAUUAGUAUUGUUUUGAAAAAAAUUGGCAAAAUAAUAUAAUUAUUUUUGAUAAAAUAACAUAAUUUAAUAUAUGUCGUGAUUGAGAAUAAUAACCUUGUAAGAAGGCAAUAACAACUUCUAAAAAUUAGUAAAAAUAAGUUGGCAUAUAUUUCAAGAGAGAGAGAGGAGAUAAAGAAAAAAAGAAAAAGAAAGAGAUGUUGGAGACAAAUUGAAACUUCAAUUAAGACAUUAUUAGUAUUAUCAGAAAUAUCUUGACGAGAUAAAUCGAAAACACCAAAAAAUAUCAAUAAUAAUAGCUGUAGUAGAUCACACACAACGAAUAACUUACUUGUCAUUUGACGGAGAGUAUGACUCACUCUAGUCAUUAUUAAUAAUCUGUUUUGUGUCAUAGAAUUUAUAUUGUAGAGAUAUUUUUAAUGGUAUUGGUCAUAAUCGAAGCUUUGAUAUACAUUUGAUAUUUCUUUCUUUUCUUUUCUAUUCUUUUCUUUUCUUUUUAUUUUUUGUUAUUGAAAUUUGUGUUAGCAAUUCCUUAAAAAAUUUCUAUUCCCAAAUACGAUUUCUUAUAAAGCUGUUGUUUUUAAUAGUGAAAUAUGUCAAACCGGGCUGUUAUGUUGAAAUUGUUUUUGCUUGUGUUAUUUGGGUUUUUUUUUUAUUAAAAAAAUGGCCUGUUUUGAUCAAAGUUAUCAAUUUUGUUCCGUUUCGCCUGAAAUGGCUGAAACAUUCCAUACCAAUUCAAAAAACAGAACAAAACAGAACAAUUUUUCAUCUCAUUUUAAAUCUCGGUCCGUUCCGGAUUUUUCGGCUAAAUUUCGAUCGAAACGUUCCGGUUUCAUUCCAUAUGUUCCGUUCCGCUCUUGAAAAGUCAUUGAAUCAAAUUGAACUUUAAUUAAUUAAACCACCCAAAAUAUAAAAAGCUCUUUUUCAUUACUAUUUUCAAUAACAAUGAUAUUAAUAAUAAUAUUGAAAAUUAUUAUUACUAUUUUCUUUAACAAUGAUAUUAAUUUUUUAAAAUUAGAUUUAUCACUAAUAUAUAUGGUUUAUAUUCAUGUUAUUUUUUUCAUGUUUAUACUUUGUUGGAAUUUGAGCAAAACAAGGGAUGUUUUAGAUUCCAUUAGCCUUGAUAACAUUAACCUAACUUAUAUUUAAAAUAUUUGUGUUAAAACAUUUUACUUUUAUAAUAUUUUGAUAUUUUAUUUAAGUUGAAUCACUUUAAGUUAAAGAUCCAUUAAUCUUGAUUAUUUAGAAAUAUUUUAAAUUUUGAAAUUAUAUUUGUUUGGCAUUGUGUUUGUAUUGCAUAAUUUAUAAUUAAUUUAUCUUUAAUUUGAAUUAUGUUUGUUGAAUAUAUAUAUAUAUAUAUAUAUAUAUAUAUAUAUAUAUAAACAGUACAACCCUGAAAUGGUACACUAAAAUAAUUUAAAAUUAAAAUAUUUUAUUUCAAUUAUAAAAAUAAAACAAUUAUCAAAACAAAACAAAAUUAAUGAACUCUGUUUGUACUGUGAAGGAAAUAAAUGGUCAAUUGAUUUAGGCGGCCUAUUGGUUCAUAAAUUCCACUCGUCCAGCCAUCGGAAAUCCAUCGUCACCCAUUGGAAAUACUUCUCUAUUUGGUUGAAAAUGACGUGAUUAAUGAGACAAGGAGUGAUGUACGGUUUAUUUUUAUGUUUUAAAAAUAUUUAAAAAAAUUAAAUUUUUAUUUUAUUUUUUUAAAUUAAUAUUUUUAAUACUUUCAAAUUAUUUUAAAACAUUAAUAUCAAAAAUAAUUUUUAAAAAUAAAAAAAUAUUAUUUUAAAUAAAAAACACUUUAAAAAUAACUUCAAUUACACUCCAAACACACCCUAUAUAUCAUGAAUGGAUUGUGAAGGAAACAAAUGGUCAAGUGAUUCACGCGGCUUAUUGGUCCAUAAAUUUCACUCGUCCACCCAUCGGAAGUACACAUCGUCACCCAAGCCAACAAGAACCGAAAUCUCUCAUUUUCUGCUUUAUUCACUGAAGAAGUCAUGGCCCCUUUGAAACUCCAUGGAAGCGUUUUAUCUACCAACACACAGCGAGUUCUAGCAACCCUUUACGAGAAAGAGGUAGAAUUUGAGCUUGUUAACGUCAAUUUGGGAGCUGGGGAACACAAGCAAGAGCCCCAUAUUUCCCUCAAUGUAAGUGCUUUACUAAUAUUGAAAGAUAAGAGCAUCUAUUUAUUUCCCAUCACAAAUGAUCACUACAUCUAUCGAUUUCUUAAUCUAAUAUAAUAUCAUUUCUUCUUCGAAUGAAAUAGCCAUUUGGUCAAGUUCCAGCUGCUGUUGAUGGAGAUCUUAAGCUCUUUGGUGAGUAAGAUUUCAACCCCUAGUUACUGUAGAAGUACUAUUUUACACGAUUUGUUGGGGGCUAUAGUUUAUUUACUCUUUCGGGUAUUUGCAGAAUCAAGAGCAAUUUCACAGUACGUAGCCCACCAAUAUGCCAGCAAGGGGACUCAACUGGGCGCUGCAGGCAACGGGUAUGCAACAAUUUUGGUAUGGCAAGAAGUGGAGUCUCACCAGUUCGACCCAUCAGCUUCAAAACUGGUGUGGGAGCAAGUUUUUAAACCAGUUUUUGGGCUACCAACAGAUGCAGCUCUAGUUGCCGAGACGGAGGUGACUCUCGGUAAGGUUCUAGAUGUGUACGAGGCAAGACUGUCUCAAUCC